GACGUAGGGGGCGAGCGUUGUCCGGAUUUAUUGGGCGUAAAGCGCGCGCAGGCGGCCGCGUAAGUCGGGUGUGAAAACCUGGGGCUCAACCCCGGGCGUGCAUCCGAUACUGCGUGGCUCGAGGCAGGUAGGGGAGAGCGGAAUUCCUGGUGUAGCGGUGAAAUGCGCAGAUAUCGGGAAGAACACCCGUGGCUAAGGCGGCUCUCUAGUACGGUACUGACGCUGAGACGCGAAAGCGUGGGGAGCGAACAGG
rnacentral:rRNA from 1 species